UACGAAGGGGGCUAGCGUUGCUCGGAAUCACUGGGCGUAAAGGGUGCGUAGGCGGGUCUUUUAAGUCAGGGGUGAAAUCCUGGAGCUCAACUCCAGAACUGCCUUUGAUACUGAAGAUCUUGAGUUCGGGAGAGGUGAGUGGAACUGCGAGUGUAGAGGUGAAAUUCGUAGAUAUUCGCAAGAACACCAGUGGCGAAGGCGGCUCACUGGCCCGAUACUGACGCUGAGGUGCGAAAGCGUGGGGAGCAAACAGGG
rnacentral:rRNA from 1 species